rnacentral:rRNA from 1 species
UACAGAGGUCUCAAGCGUUGUUCGGAUUCAUUGGGCGUAAAGGGCGCGUAGGCGGUGGGGUAAGUCUUGCGUGAAAUCUCGGGGCUCAACCCCGAGCGGUCGUGAGAAACUGGCAGGCUAGAGUGCGGGAGAGGAGAGUGGAAUUCCUGGUGUAGCGGUGAAAUGCGUAGAGAUGUGGAGGAACACCGAUGGCGAAGGCGGGUCUCUGGGCCGAUAUUGACGCUGAGGAGCGAAAGCGUGGGGAGCAAACAGG